UACGUAGGGUGCAAGCGUUAAUCGGAAUUACUGGGCGUAAAGCGUGCGCAGGCGGUUGUGCAAGACCGAUGUGAAAUCCCCCGGGCUUAACCUGGGAAUGGCAUUGGUGACUGCACGGCUAGAGUGUGUCAGAGGGGGGGGUAGAAUUCCACGUGUAGCAGUGAAAUGCGUAGAGAUGUGGAGGAAUACCGAUGGCGAAGGCAGCCCCCUGGGAUAACACUGACGCUCAUGCACGAAAGCGUGGGGAGCAAACAGG
rnacentral:rRNA from 1 species